rnacentral:rRNA from 1 species
CACGUAGGGUGCAAGCGUUGUUCGGAUUCAUUGGGCGUAAAGGGUGCGUAGGCGGCGCGGUAAGUCGGGUGUGAAAUCUCGGAGCUUAACUCCGAAACUGCAUUCGAUACUGCCGUGCUUGAGGACUGGAGAGGAGACUGGAAUUUACGGUGUAGCGGUGAAAUGCGUAGAUAUCGUAAGGAACACCCGUGGCGAAAGCGGCGCGCUGGACCACUACUGACGCUGAGGAACGAAAGCUAGGGGAGCAAACAGG